AGUUGAUCCUGGCUCAGGAUGAACGCUAGCGGCAGGCCUAACACAUGCAAGUCGCGGGGCAGCACGGGUAGCAAUACCUGGUGGCGACCGGCGCACGGGUGCGUAACGCGUAUGCAACCUGCCCCCAUCAGGGGAAUAGCCCGCCGAAAGGCGGAUUAAUGCCCCAUAGGCCCAGGGCGCCGCAUGGCGCUAUGGGUAAAGCUCCGGCGGAUGGGGAUGGGCAUGCGUGCCAUUAGCUAGUUGGGGCGGUAACGGCGCACCAAGGCGACGAUGGCUAGGGGGUCUGAGAGGAUGGUCCCCCACACUGGUACUGAGACACGGACCAGACUCCUACGGGAGGCAGCGGUGAGGAAUAUUGGUCAAUGGGCGGAAGCCUGAACCAGCCAUGCCGCGUGCAAGGAUGACGGCCCUACGGGUUGUAAACUGCUUUUACAUAAGACUAACCGUAUAUUUGCGAAUAUACCUGAAUGUAUUAUGAGAAUAAGGAUCGGCUAACUCCGUGCCAGCCGCCGC
rnacentral:rRNA from 1 species